GCGGCACAUCUGUCUGUGUCAUUGUCUGAUCCUGAGUAGAAAGAGACAGACUGCAUCUGCUCUGUCUGUCAUAUUCCAAGGGAAAAUGAGACCGCUAGCUGCUCUGUCUGUCAUAUUCCAAGGGGAAAAGAGACCGCAAGCUGCUCGGCCUGUCAUAUUCCAAGGGGGAAAGAGACUGCUACCUGCUCGGUCUGUCAUAUUUCAAGGAGAAAAGAGACGGCAAGCUGCUCUAUCUGUA